rnacentral:rRNA from 1 species
AGAAUCAACGCUGGCGGCGUGCCUAACACAUGCAAGUCGCACGAGAAAGGGGCUUCGGCUCUGAGUAAAGUGGCGCACGGGUGAGUAACACGUGAAUAAUCUACCUCCGAGUGGGGAAUAACUGAGAGAAAUCUUAGCUAAUACCGCAUAACACUUACGAGUCAAAGCAGCAAUGCGCUUGGAGAGGAGUUCGCGGCCGAUUAGUUAGUUGGCGGGGUAAUGGCCCACCAAGACGAUGAUCGGUAUCCGGCCUGAGAGGGCGCACGGACACACUGGAACUGAAACACGGUCCAGACUCCUACGGGAGGCAGCAGUGGGGAAUUUUGCGCAAUGGGGGAAACCCUGACGCAGCAACGCCGCGUGGAGGAUGAAAUAUCUUGGUAUGUAAACUCCUUUCGAUCGGGACGAUUAUGACGGUACCGGAUGAAGAAGCACCGGCUAACUCUGUGCCAGCAGCCGC